UCCAUGCUCCUUUAUUUUAUUCUCCUUAGAUUUGUGUGCUUGCCUUAGACACUACCCACCCCUCCAUCCUGCACAAAUGACAAGCUCCCAGUGGUGAGGCCAGCACCUUCCUCAUCGCUGGAUCCCCACACCCUGCAGACAGAGGCACUUAAGACCUAUCUGUUCCCUCAAGUGACACUGAACAACCCGUUCUCUGAAGGGAGAAGACAGGGGCGGGCUGCCAAGGUGGGCCGUGGAGGGCCUUGGCGCUGGCUGCUGCAUCGGAAGCCGGCAUCACCCACUCCGGGGACAGGUCUCCUCUGUCCAGUGCAGCUUGAUUGUACGUUUAUGAGUCAUGGUCACGAGGCCCACAGCAGCUUAAUGAGGGACAUUCUUUAUACACACACUCACACACACGCACAGACAUACAGAUACAUCCCAGACAGGCAAGCCAUUUCCCGCCUAGAGAACAGAUUUAAGUCUCCAGGAGACAGGCGGGGAGAGGGGCAGAGAUGUUCAGGCCCAAAUCUUACCUUGGCUUGCCCUCUCUGGGGAUUUAUGACCUCCCUUCUCCAUUUCCUCUUGCCUGGAGCAGGGGUGAGGUGGGGAGUGCUCUAAGAAGCAGAGGAGAGAGGCAGGAAGACAGGGUGGGAAGUGAGGGGUGGGCUAUUUGUGUCUCAGGCCCUAUAAAUGUUUCCAACUCUGUUCACCUGCAGGCCAAGAGCCUGGGCCAUCUGAUACAGAUUCCAGGUACUAGAGGCCAGCCAAACCUGUCUUCUCAGUGCCAACCCCAUUCUUCUCCCCUGAGGGUGGCAGGUAGCUCAGGGUGGCAGUGGGGGUCAAUGGGCCAUACCCUCCUCAGAUCCUGCAUUCGUUUCCUGGGGCUCUGCUCUAACAAAGCACCACAAACCGAGGGCUCAACAACAGAAAUUACUGUCUCAUAGUCCUGAGCCCAGAAGUCCAAAAUCAAGGUGUCAGCCCAGGGUUCCUCUGCACUAUGAGGGAGAAUCUCUUCCAGGCCUCCCUCCUAGCUUCAGGUAACCGUGGGCAUUCCUGGGCUUGUAGAUGGCAUUUUCUGUGUCUUCAGGCCAUCUUCCUCCAAUGAAUGUCUAUCUCUUGGUCCAAAUUUCCCCCUUUUUUUUUUUUAUAAGGAAACCAGUCAUAUUGGGUUAGGGUCCUCCCUAAUGGCUUCAUCUAACUUGACCUUAUUUUCAAAUAAGGUCAUUGGUACUGAGUUAGAACUUCAACAUCUUUUUUGGAAAAUACAACUCAACAUAUAACAGAACCCACAGGUGGGAGCUGUUGAAGGUAUUUUAUUGUCCCUACUAAAAUAAUAAUAACUAUAAAAGAACUGACCCUCAUGGGCUUACCAUGUACCACAUACUAUCAUUAGCAUGGAUAACACCACUAUGAAGUUACUUCUAUUAUUUCUACUUUCUGAUGAGAAAGCUGAGGCUCUGAGAGGUUAAGGAACUUACCCAAGACCUUACAGCUGAUGCAUGACAAAGCCAGAAUUACCACCUAGGCAGUCCUUAGCUACUGCACUACAAUAAUCAUAUCCUGUGAUGUGAGCAUGUCACUAUGACACCGACUCCUAAAUCCAGGGCCUGGGUGUGGUCCACACUGGCCAUUGGCCUGAACUAUGGAAAGAGUUCCCACUGGGCAACUGCCCCCUGCUCUCAGACUCAAACUGCCACCCAAGAGUGGGCCCAAGUCUACAGUGGGCGAUGUCUUGGUAGGGGGCGUUCUGAGUGGGCAAGUGGAGAGCAGCGGGCAGGGGGUGCACAGGACAGAUGGAGCCUGCUGAGUCCCUUUGUAGGACCUCCUUACCUACUCUGGGAUGGGCACAAGAUCAUACCACAUCAAACCCAACUGCUAUGCUAUCGUGGAAGAGACUUAUUGAUUUGUCCAGAGGCUUUGUAUUUAAUGGGGGAAGACUGUGCGAGGGAGAUAAAGGUGAGAAAUUCCUCCUCGUCCAGCAUCCCUGACUACAGCUGUGGAGCCUCCAGCAUUCCAUCCUCUUUCCAGAUUUUCCAGGCUCAGAAAGAGCGAGAAGCCUGCUAAGGAGACACAGCUGGGGCACGGCAGAGUUGGGAUUUGAACAGUGGAGGCAUAGGACACACAGUCGGCCACAUCCACUUCCUCUCCUGCAUGUGAACCUUCCAGGGAUCCCCACUGCCUCAAGAAAAAAAAAAAAAAAACUUGGCCCAGAAGUCUAUAUUCUUCCCAACCUAGUCCCACCUAAUAGCCAGCCUCCCCUCUGCUGCAAGCAUUCCCCAUUCCCACCAGGAAGAAGCUGGCAUGCGCCAUCUCUGCUGCUAAAACUGCUGUCGCCCUACUGGGCCCUGGGGGUGUGAGUUCCUGACCGUCUGCCUGGACUUGACAAGAGAAGAUACCAAGCAAAAGUAAUGAAAGAAAAAAAAAAAAGACUGCAGGAGAAUGCAGGCUGGAACCUGUCCUACAGAGGUAGACACAGCCUCACCUGGAUGCCAUUGCUUCUCCCAAGGAGAAGCCAAGAGCAGUCACCCCCAUAAGCUGUCACCAACCCCCUCCACCCCAGGAUCAAAGCAGAGAAUGACACCACUUCAGACCCAGCAGGAGUUCCCCAUAGAGAACUGUUUGCCAGUGAAAUCUCCCCAGAAGCCUCAGAGGGAGAGGGUUUAAACCCAUCCUGCAGAAGGCAGGUGGGAAAUAGGCAGGGGCAACAGCACCCCACAUGGGGAAGAUCUCAUAUGGUGACUAACUGGCUUUUCUAGGCCAUUGUCACCAAUGCCGGAGAAAUAUUCCACUUUAAAAAUAAAUGUAAAGCAAAAUCCAAAAUUAACUCUCCCCAGAUAACCCCUUUCCAAAAAAGACCACAUCGUAAUCCACAUGUGGCCAUUCGCAUACAGUUUAACCCAAGGACAUCUCUCUGUCCUGGAUUGGGAUACUUCCCAGGCCUCCACCCCACACAUCUGGCACUUUGCAAUCUUCUCAGUCCUCCCAUGGACCCCAAUUUCAUGUCUUUCUCUAGGUGCCCCCAGGGCACGAGGGCUGCCACAGAAUCCUUGUGCUUCUCACCCCAAUCUAAAGGUGCUCGAAAACAAGUAACUUCAAGGUGUCCUUGCCACACAGACUGAUAACAAUAAAUGCAUACAGGGAGUCAC